UGGGGAAUAUUGGACAAUGGGCGAAAGCCUGAUCCAGCCAUGCCGCGUGAGUGAUGACGGCCUUAGGGUUGUAAAGCUCUUUCAGUGGGGAAGAUAAUGACGGUACCCACAGAAGAAGCCCCGGCUAACUCCGUGCCAGCAGCCGCGGUAAUACGGAGGGGGCUAGCGUUGUUCGGAAUUACUGGGCGUAAAGCGCGCGUAGGCGGAUCUUUAAGUCAGAGGUGAAAUCCUGGAGCUCAACUUCAGAACUGCCUUUGAUACUGGAGAUCUUGAGUCCGGAAGAGGUUAGUGGAAUUCCCAGUGUAGAGGUGAAAUUCGUAGAUAUUGGGAAGAACACCAGUGGCGAAGGCGGCUAACUGGUCCGGUACUGACGCUGAGGUGCGAAAGCGUGGGGAGCAAACAGGAUUAGAUACCCGCGUAGUCC
rnacentral:rRNA from 1 species